rnacentral:tRNA from 2 species
CAGAGCGUAGCUAAGAAGUACAGCAUCUCCCUUACACCGAGAAGACACCCGUGCGAAUCGGGUCGCGCUGA